rnacentral:misc_RNA from 1 species
AACGCACGAGACCUGCGGACCUGCGGAGGGAUCAUUAGUGAACGCCCUCACGGGCUUAUAACUAUUCCAAACCUCUGUGAACCGUGCCCUUUGGGGCUAUUUUACAAACAUGGUGUAAUGAACGUCAUAUAUCAUAACAAAACAAAACUUUCAACAAUGGAUCUCU